rnacentral:rRNA from 1 species
CCUACGGGAGGCAGCAGUAGGGAAUUUUCGUCAAUGGGCGCAAGCCUGAACGAGCAAUGCCGCGUGAACGAGGAAGGUCUUCGGAUCGUAAAGUUCUGUUGAAGGGGAAAAGGAGCGGAGAGAGGAAAUGCUUUCUGAUUGAUAUUACCCUUCGAGGAAGUCACGGCUAACUACGUGCCAGCAGCCGCGGUAAUACGUAGGUGGCGAGCGUUAUCCGGAAUGAUUGGGCGUAAAGGGUGCGUAGGCGGCCUGCUAAGUCUGGAGUGAAAGGUACCGGCUCAACCGGUACAGGCUCUGGAAACUGGCGGGCUAGAGAGCAGGAGAGGGCGGUGGAACUCCAUGUGUAGCGGUAAAAUGCUUAGAUAUAUCGAAGAACCCCGAUGGCGAAGGCAGCCUACUAACCUGUUACUGACACUGAUGCUCGAAAGUGUGGGUAUCAAACAGGAUUAGAUACCCUUGUAGUC